UUCAGAGGUCCCGAGCGUUGUUCGGAUUUACUGGGCGUAAAGGGAGCGUAGGCGGUUCGGUAUGUCGAAUGUGAAAGCCCACAACUCAACUGUGGAAAUGCAUUCGAAACUGCCGGGCUAGAGUACUGGAGAGGAGAGCGGAAUUCUUGGUGUAGCGGUGAAAUGCGUAGAUAUCAAGGGGAACACCGGUGGCGAAGGCGGCUCUCUGGACAGAUACUGACGCUGAGGCUCUAAAGUUAGGGGAGCAAACAGGAUUAGAUACCCCGGUAGU
rnacentral:rRNA from 1 species